UAUAUGUUGGAUGCUGCUAUUAUUACUGGUUACAAAUGCUGAUGUUGAUGCUGAUUGCAAAUGCUUUUGGAAUCUUUUAGGAUGGAGAUUGAGAAGGCUAUAAAUUUAUUUGUAUAGGAUUGAAGGUUUUUAAGACAUUCGAUGAAUAGUUGUAUGCGGAUAUGACUGGACUCUUAGGGUUUGAGAACUUCAGGCAAAAUGAGCAUCUUAAGAUGUAUGUCGAUGAAAAUUCUGCACGUACACUUUGUUUGGCCCAACCAAAGAAUUUAUUCAAGCUAAUCCACUUUUCAAGGACAAGUUAUAUUUUCCUAUCCUUGAGGAUUCGAGGCUACAAUCUCUCAUUGAGCAGAGUAGAAGUCAUUGCCAGUGGAAGUACUGGGUACAGAUAUGUUUAGGAAAUGUGGGGUGCUGGUUGAAUUUGGUUGUUGGAUUUUGCCGCGAAAGUCAGUGAAAGAAGGUUACCGUGAAGCCAUGUAUUCAGUAAAGCGGGUGGGUGUUUGUCGUGGGUUUUGUGUGAUAUUUUAAGAAACAAAGAACACGACAGAGAUUGCAUGAUGUUUAGCAAACUGGAGUCUGAAAACCUGCGUUUUCGUGGAUGUGCAGGUUCAGGUUGCAUACAUAUUUCUGUUUAGCUUUCAUUCCCUUCUUACCCUAUAAAACACUCUCUGUAUCUGCUACCCGUUAUGGAUUUUUAUCUUGUUUUAUAUACACUUUCUAUACCUAUACAUAUAGUAAGGAAAAAACUGUUGGUACAUUUGCAUCUAAGUACCUCGAGCUACAAUUCGUUUUCAUCUAAAUAACUUCAUUUUAUUAAGGAUGAGCUUGUUAUUUUAUUCAAAUACCCUUCCAGGUGCAACAACAUCUUGUGUUCCAUUGAAAACACAGCUGAUUUGAAGUAUUCAAGUAAUGAAGAUUAUGUUUGAUCAUAUUUUUAGGAGAUGAAAGCAAUUAUAAAUAGGUUGAUACACUAACUUUACGGGUUUGAUAAUUUUAUUUAUAGGUUCAGUUGUUUUAUUACUUAAAGGAGUAAAUAAUUUCUUUAUCAUGUUUAAUAUUAGAUUUCGUUGUUUGGUUAAGUUCAAAAAUUUUAGUCAAUUCACUAGAAUCACUAUGCCAGGUUGUGAUGAGAUCUGUUUGUUUGUUUCACCUCAAUCAGAUCUUCUUAGAGUUCUAAAAGUCUUUCCGAAGGAGAUGGUUUUGUUGAUACAUAUGUCUGCGACGUAGUGGUGUUAUGUAUGGUAGCACGACAUUUCCAGAAGAGAUGCAUGAGCUUUCUGAUGCCCGUGGUUUCAAGAGACAGAAAUUAUGAGAGCUUGAGAUAGACUGCGAUCAACAUGUGAAGAAAUGGCGAUGUUAGAGGGAAGGAUGAGUCUGGCAAUCAUGAUAUGAGGAAGACAUCUUUAUUUUCCGCUACCCAAACUAAGCUCCUGAGUCAAGUUGCUGAGAAGGAUUUAGUUAGGGAAAGGGUAUUGAAGAAAGCCUUCCAUCUUAUUGAUACGAUGUAUUGUAGGGCAGGGAUUUGUCUUGGUAACCAGGGGUUUUCCAUUAGAUCAGCUGCUCUUGUAUCCCUUGCACUUUUUGGUGCCUUUUUGAGUCUUGCAACUAUUUUGAGUGUGAAUUUGUUCUUACACUAAAAUUCUUCACUGGUUUGCUCGUUAGAGCCAUGCUUCCAUACUGGUUUGGUUUGCUGCUAUGACCAUGAAGAGUAUAUGAAGUGCAGCUCUUAAGAUGGUGGAAGAAUUUCGCGGGCAAUUGAAGGUUAUAUCUAAAGAUGAAUCAGUUGAAAUAUCAAAUAGUAUUGAUGUAUGGCCAUUAAUGGAUGACCAGGUACUUCAUGUAUUUGUCUUUCAGCUUCUAUUUUUCUAUUGAAGACAUAGAAUGUUAGACUUCCUUAUUGUUUAGAACAUUAUGUAUUGAUUUUCUUGGUAUACUAAUGAGUGUAUCGAUAUUAUCCAAAUGACAAAUUUUUGUUGUC